GGAAGGGUGGCAGAGUGGUCGAAUGCACCGGUCUUGAAAACCGGCAAGGCGCAAGCCUUCGAGGGUUCGAAUCCCUCCCCUUCCGCCA
rnacentral:tRNA from 1 species